UCCCAUCCCUGACGUCAUCAACGUCCCCAUCACAUCCCCGAUGUCCCCAACGUCCCCAUCCCAUCUCCAACAUCACCAGCGUCCCACCCCGUCCCCCAUGUCCCAUCCUGUCCCCAAUGACCCCACCACGUCCCCGAUGUCCCCAUGCCCAGGAAUGUCCUCGACAUCCCACCCCGUCCCCGAUGUCCCCACCUCCGUCCCGUCCCGUCCCGUCCCGUCCCCGCGCGUGGGCAGGGACCGGCCCUGCCGGCUCGGCCGGCGCCGCGACACGUGGGGACACGUGGGGACACGCGGGGACAUGCAGGGACACACGUGGGGACACGCGGGGACGCGGCUGAGCCUGGUGCAACCACUUUAUUGGGACACGUGAGACGGAGACCGCUGGAGAGGGGCCCAGGCGUCCGGGAGGGGCCCAGGCAUCCGGGAAGGGCCCAGGCGUCCGGGAUGGGGCCCAGGCAUCCGGCCCUUCUCCCACCCCCACCAGCCCCUACUUCUCGCAGCCGCCGCAGCUGGACUGGCCGGAUCCGGAUCCCGUCCCGGAUCCAGAUCCCGUUGCAGGGCGAGAUCCAGAUCCGGAUCCCAUCCCGGAGCCAUAGGUGGUCCCAGAUCCUGUCCCGGAUCCAUAGGUGGUCCCGGAUCCUGUCCCGGAGCUGUAGGUGGUCCCGGAUCCCACCCCGGAGCUGUAGGCGCCGGAUCCGCUGCCGGAUGUGGCAGGGGAUCCCCCCGCGGGGCCGCGCCGCACUGGGAUGCGGCCCCCGAUCCGGGCUGGAUCCCACAGCCCCGGCACGAAGGGGAUCCCGGGAUUCUUGUACACCGGGCGCCGGAAACCCCCCGAUCCUCCGUAGGAUCCCGAUCCGCCCCCGUAGGAUCCUGAUCCCCCAUAGGAUCCUGAGCUGCCCCCAUAGGAUCCAGAUCCUCCGUAGGAUCCCGAAUUGUCCCCGUAGGAUGCCGGCAGCCUGUAGGAUCCCGAGCUGCCUCCGUAGGAUCCCGAUCCCCCAUAGGAUCCCGAUCCGCUUCCCCCUUGGGAUCCGGGUCUGCCCGAUCCUGAUCCGCUGCUUCCCUGGGAUCCGGGUCUCCCUGAUCCGGAUCCGCUUCCCCCUUGGGAUCCGGGUCUCCCCAGCCCAGGUCUGCCUGAUCCGGAUCCGCUUCCAUAGGAUCCCCCGUAGGAUCCCGUCCCAUCACCAUAAGCUACGGAUCCGCUUCCCCCUUGGGAGCCGGGUCUGCCCGACCCGGAUCCACCUCCAUAGGAUCCAGAACCGGAUCCCCCCUGGGACCCGGAUCCCCCAUAAGAUCCCGAUCCGCUGCCUCCUUGGGAUCCGCUUCCCCAGUGGAAUCCGGGUCUCCCCGAGCCAGAUCCGCUUCCAUAAGAUCCGGAACUGGAUCCCCCGUGGGAUCCCAAUCUGCCUCCGUAGGAUCCCAAGGACCCAUCGGGUGCUGCUGCUCCAGCUCCGUAGGAUCCCGGGGGCCCAUAGGAUCCUACUCCACUCCCAUAGGAUCCCGCUGAUCCCCCUCCGUAGGAUCCCAAGCCGGUUCCGUAAGAUCCCGAAUCACUUCCAUAGGAUCCCGAUGAGCCGUAGGAUCCUGAAUUGCUUCCAUAGGAUCCCGAUCCGCCUCCGUAGGAUCCUGAUGGUCCAUAGGAUUCCGAUCCACCUCCGUAGGAUCCCGACGAUCCAUAGGACCCCGAUCCGCUUCCGUAGGAUCCCGAGCUCCCCCCGCCCAUCUGGGGGCCCCCCGGUUCGCAGCGGCAGGUGGCGCCUGGGGGGAAAGGGGGUGUCAGGGGCGCCCGGACGCCUGGGCCCCUCGGGGUGGGGUCGCCCGGACACCUGGGCCCCUUGUGGAUCUGGGGGGG
ensembl:lncRNA